CCCCCGCGCAUGCCUUCUAUCUACAAAGCACAGUAGCAUGACUUGGGGGAUGUGGGGGGUCGCUUUCUGGGCAGAUAUCAGUGCCACAUACACCAAAGUCAUUAUUACUCAGUGACUCUAGGCAAUGGAGAUCUCUUUCAACCAAGCAGCACAGUCUGGCUGAGGAGUGGAGACGGCACAGCGGUGAGGACUUGGGCAAGCCUGGAAGCCACCCCCAAUAAGUCUCCUUCUCACAACUCUUGUCUCUCUUCCUCCCUCUCAGAGAAAAAUGACGAGGGAAGGGAGCAUCGGGUUCGGCACUGAUACACAGGAGGAACAUUUGCUUUUCAAACAAAUAUAUUAGGAAUUAAGGAUCCUAACAAACAGGGUCCUCUUUGAAGCAACCCUUGCUAAAAUUGUACUCUGAGGACACUGCCAGUUUCAGACGGCUUUGGGCUUUCCCACUGGCAAUGGUAUCGAGGGCCAAUAUUUGACACAUUCAGGAGAGACAGUCACUAUUGAAUGGCUAUACCUUGGUGUGAUAAGCUCUGGCAUUUUGCUUCCUCAUUCUGGGUCCCUGUCUUUCCCAUCAGAUCCAAUCUGGAAUGGCUUCGUUCAGUUAAGCAAUUUUUUUUCUUUUCUGCCACUGUCAACAUGGUGAGCCAGGAGCUGGGGUCUGUUUGCCACAGUGGCUCUCUGACAGGGUAAAUCACAGAACAAGCCCACCCCUCCUGUCUCUGUCGCUCUCUCUCACACACACUUCUUUGUAUGCAAUUCAAGCAACAGUAUCUUGUACCGCCUAGGACCACACUGAAAAAUUUGCAGAACUUUUUGGGAGCAGAGAUGUAGAACUCAGUGUGGUUCCCCUCUGUCUGUCCUGGAUUCUGGCUAUAUAAACGGGAGAACUUUCAAGGUCUUACAUGGCCACUCUUUCUAGGCUGAAUUCAGCUGUUUAAACUCGACAGUCUCACGUCUUUUCAAUAGGAGAACAAAAGCUUUCAGCAAUCUGUGAAGGUUGGAUGGACCUGGCUUUUACUACUUGAGCUGUGUCAGUUACAAAGUUCACUAAGGGCAGUGGUGGCCACCAGUGCCUUCUUCCUCUUUCCAGGUUCAACCUCCAGUCUCGACUCACAUGGGCCCACAGGCCUGGCCGACUCUGACCUACUGCUGGAUACAUGAGCCUCUGCUAAGGAAGCUUCUGAUGGCUUCCCUUUCCUCUACGGAAGGAUACGGAACCCCAAACCUACUGUAACCUGCAUUACAGCUGGGCUUUCAGUUUCUGCCUCCGAGAUAACCUUCUUGGACAGACACUUGGGGUUCUAAUUCUGUUUCGCUGGUCAUAGUGUGGGAGGCCCUUCCUGGGCGGAAGUUGGGCAGCUUUAGAAAUUGCAUCAGUUCUUUCAAAUCCUGGCCACAAUGCGGAGUCCGGAAAAGUAAUUUACUCUGGGAUCCCGGUGGCUAAGAAGCUAAAUGCUGCUUCUGCUUUAAGAAGUCCCCUGUUUAUAUCAAUCCAGCACAGUCCUGCUCUCGGGCAUCUGUUCCUUCCUCAGGUAUUGGGUGGGAUGCAGGCACACUAACAGAAUUGUUCUCAACUCUUGGCUUCAGUAAUGAGCAGGGUAUAUUCCCUCCGGGACACGCCCCCAGAGCCACAGAGCUUGCUUACAUUUGGUGGACGUGCCAAAGGACUGGCUCACAGCAUUCCACUUCAGUGUGGGCACCAAGUUUGAAGUCUGAGGUGUGUGUGUAUCGUUUAGCAUACAUCUGUAUAUGCGCACGUGUGUAUGUUGUGUGUGCGCACGUGUGUGUAAAGAGGCCAGGGAUCAAUGACAGGUAUCUUCUUCUAUCAUUCCCCAACCUAUACUUUGAUUGUUUCUCUCACUGACUCCAGAAGUCCAUGAUUGGCCAGACUGGUUGGCUAGCAAGCUUGAGGAUCUGCCUGUGUCCCCUUCUCCUUUGUUGCUAGGGCUACAGAUGCAUGCGGCCAUGCUUGGCUUUUUGCAUGGGUACUGGGGAUUCAAACUGAGGCGUUCCUGCUUGUGCAGUGGCAGCCAUUUUAUCUGUCCAGCUAUCUCCUCAGUCUGAUUUAUGGUAAGGAAUACGUAGUGAGAUCAUUCAGGCAGGGGUAAGAAGGACGCUUGCACAGUAUGGGUGGUAUGCAGUUUAGAAGACGAAGUAGAACAAGCAGCCCAGGCUUACUAAUGAUCAAGCCUCAGUACAGGGCAAGGACUUCACUAAAACAUCAAUGUGCACUUUCACAAUGCGCCGCAGUGCCUUUCUCCAGCCUACAAGGGAGCAGGACAAACCUAUGUUCCAUUUUACUUUCUGAUAAGACACCAAGUCCCUGCCUGUGAUGUCAUUUUCCUUCAUCAACUUCAGUUGGGCAAACCCUAGGUAUGAGAGCCAUGCUUGGCGAACAUAGGAGAUAUGAGCAAGCUCUAUUUGAGAAACUAGCACUACUAUCUUGUUUGUUUUUACGUAAAGGGAAGUCUUAAACAGAAAUUGCAAGAAGCGGGAAUCUAAGUAAAGAGCCAAGAAGAGGUCAGUACAAGUUUGCAGAUGUAUAGGCAGAGACCCUGAGCGCCGGCUCAAUGGGAAGUACAGACUCCAAGAGGUCAAGGAGGGGAGCUCAAAUGGGCCUGGGUGCAUGCUGGACCUGAACAGUUUCAAUGAGGGAAAGAGCUUGGGAAACAUUCAGUUUUAAUCCUUUGCAUAUGAAAAAGGGGGCAAACAUUGUCAUGCAGUGUGGCUGCCACCUCUGUAAAGUAUCUUUAUCGAUGCGCAAGCCAGUGGCCUCCAAAAUCCUUUCUUCAAAAUUCAGUUUUAUUUUAUUUUAGUUCAUCUAUUUUUUUUUUUUGGAUAUAAUGUCUAAGUCUAUUAAAAAGAUCAAAAGAGGCUUCCAGGUUUCUUCACCACACUGCAGUAAAAUGGUUGCUUCAAACCCACAGAAUUGUCACAAAUGUUCCUGAGUGCCAUCAACAGAAAUCCAACCAGCUGGCAUACCGUGCCUUGGUUGGGCCCACUGCAUGCAAAGAGGGCACAAUUUCUCAGCUAUGGAAUGUAGUUCUUGUAUCAAGAUGUUUACGGUGGGUCGGUUGGGGAUACUUCAAGAUUCAAGUUCAAACAAGUAGUUCAUUUUCAACUUGAAACGAAGUCUUAUUUUAUAGUAAGGCCUACUAUUUCACAAUAAGGUGUGCUUGUGUGUGUGUGUGUUGAGAUUACACACCAAAAUAAUUCUGGAAAUAAAUAAAUGUAUUCUAAAUGGCAGACAAUAAUGAUGCAAGAUCAAAGUGGCUCCAAAAAAGAAGGAAAAGAGAUGCAAUUUUCUUUAGGAUGCUUGAGUUCAGCCUCUUGCUAAGAAAGCCUAACUGACCAGAUGUCGCUGUCUCUGAACCUGCAGGAGAUGUUCCCUGUCGUCAGAAAUCCUCUCCCAGCAGUGUCCAGGGGUCCUAAUCAGGUAUUCCUCAAAACACCUGCAAUGACUUAUGCCUAGGAAGCACACAGACCCCACUGGCAGUGUCUAAGAAGAGGCAUGGCAGCGGACCAAGCAAAACCAGAAUCCAGUCACCUUUCCUCAGUGAACACACAGUGGGGUGUUAUCUUUUGUGCUCCUGAAUCGGGAUCAUGAAUGCUGCUGUCCUCAGCCACGAGACAAAGUAUGAGGCAGACGUGUAGCGAGCACAUGCUACAGAAGUUCUAAAUGGAGGGAGGGCUCUUCUUCCACCUGUUUCAUGAGUCCACCACACCCUCCAAUGAACACAUUUGCUCCUCCUUGAAGACCAAGGUAGCUGUUGCACCUGGAGCUAUCUCUGAGGGAAGCUCUUACAAUGGCAAGAGUCCAAAGUCUCUCCUCUCCCCGCACCAGUCCUGAAGACAAAGUCAUAAAGACCAGACAUUGGUUCAACUGGUUCCGGUUCACUAUGGGACUUUGGUUCAUGCACAGUUCCUUAUGACGGUUCCUUAUGUCCCAUCCAUGUUCAGUAAAAUAAAGAUGGAAGGAUGGGAUCCUAUGGGCAUUUAUUCCUAGAGAAGAUUUAUUCUUUAAGAGGGAGGCCACUGCUAACUUUGGUUUCGGCUGGAAGUAAGUACAACUCAUCUUGGUCUCUCCUUGGUGCGCCUGCCUCUCUCCUGUCUGUACUUCAGGGGAGUAUCACCCUGGUAUCCUACUCUUUGUCCAGGGCCCACUUCUAUGGAGGCGGCCACAGGUAAGGCACAGGAGGUGAGGCAGGUCACAGGUAAGGCAGAAUGGGGAGAUGUCCCACAGAAGUGCCACCACACAGACACAUGUCUUGUGGACGGGUCCACAUCAUUCUUAGACCAUUUUAGCAUGUGGUCACCUAAGGCUGGUCUUUUUCCAGAUGUGUAAUAAAGCACUUACCAAUGCUACUCUUCAAAUUUACUGUGAUGUAAAAGACACUGACAUUUUAAGUUUUAGGAUAAUGGCAGUGAAGCAGACAUGGUGGCUCGUAUGUAUAAUUCCAGCAUUUGAGAAGCCAAGGCAGUAUGAGUCUGACUUAAAAAAAAUCCUCAUUGCUACAGUCUGGUUACAAAUAGUCUAAAAAGAUUCAUUAUGGGAUCUGCAGUUCAUUUAAAUACUGUUUAGUCUAGCUUGGGUCUCAUUCAGAUAUCCAAAAGUAACUUUUGGAAUACACACACACACCCCUCCAAAGUUUAAGAUGAGAGUUACCACUGAGUUAUCAAUAUAUGGAAAAAAUAUUAGUCACCUUGGCCCAAGUUUACAAAUGAGAAGAAAAAGCUAGGCAUAAGAUGGAGUGUCACUCAGCCCCAGAGAGCGAAAAGCAGAAAGCCACAGCUGCCUUGCCAGGAACCCGAGGAACCUCUGCAAUGCAGACUCUUACUGUGAAGCUGGGCCUAAGCCUGACCUGGGCCUUGUCCAUCACCUCUUCCUGGGCUCAGCUCUAAGUGCAGCCAGGUGUUUCAUCCAAGAACCUGGGCUGGCGGUCACAGAGAAGUAUCUCCCUCUGAACCUCUCCUAGUCACUCGGCCCCUAGCCCCGAGAGCACAGGGCACUUCUUCCUUUCCUCACGUCUUCUGGAGCUCAAGCACCCCCUCUCACCGUUCCUCUCUGUGCACCAUCACUUUCUUAGCGUAGAACCACACUGGCAUGUUUUACUCUUUUUUUUUUUCUUUGACCAAUGCUCCCCAGGAUAGAAGUUAUUUUGUUUUCAUUAUUCUCAGGAUCCCCAGGGCUGAGUUCAGGCAUUCCGGAAAUGCCUGCAAAAAUGGAUAGAAGCUCACUGACACUAAGUAUUUCCCAUCAGGAGGAUGGGAACAGUCAUAGGUCUUCCUUAACAGACAAACACCAGCAGGGCUUGCCUCCAUAUAACAUGUUGAUCAUGACAAAAACAUGGCUGGAACAGGCCACACAGAGUCUAAAGAUAGAAUACAAAUGGACUACUUAUGGUAGACAAGAUUUUACACUAGGCCUCUCUGCUGAACAUAGUUGCUACUUACACAAAUAGAUCUGUCCCAAGAUCAACUUUGGCUGAAAUUUAGUUACUGAGUAUGAUGGACAGACAGACAGCACAAGAUCCCAGACAGCUAAGUAGAUCAUCAAUGUAAAAAGGGAAGUAAUAAAACAUGAAAGUUUACGUUCCACCGAGCAAAAAUUCACUGACUGUAUACAGAGAAGGAAAGUGGUUAUGGUUUUAGUUGAAAAACUGGGAAGAUUAAACACAACCAAAUAAAACCAGCUGCUUUGGCAAUUUUACGUGUUGAAUUAAAAUUGUUUUCUAAAAGUCAUUUAUCCUAGUGUUGACAGAGUUACUAUUUUAGGUAUAAAACCAGUAGUGUAGCACACAUUUAAUAUCUCAGCAAGUUUACAAUAUAACAUAUUUCUUUUAUGACUUGAAAUUUACCUGCUACGGCCUGA